rnacentral:rRNA from 1 species
UGCUCCCUGAUGUUAGCGGCGGACGGGUGAGUAACACGUGGGUAACCUGCCUGUAAGACUGGGAUAACUCCGGGAAACCGGGGCUAAUACCGGAUGCUUGAUUGAACCGCAUGGUUCAAUUAUAAAAGGUGGCUUUUAGCUACCACUUACAGAUGGACCCGCGGCGCAUUAGCUAGUUGGUGAGGUAACGGCUCACCAAGGCNACGAUGCGUAGCCGACCUGAGAGGGUGAUCGGCCACACUGGGACUGAGACACGGCCCAGACUCCUACGGGAGGCAGCAGUAGGGAAUCUUCCGCAAUGGACGAAAGUCUGACGGAGCAACGCCGCGUGAGUGAUGAAGGUUUUCGGAUCGUAAAACUCUGUUGUUAGGGAAGAACAAGUACCGUUCGAAUAGGGCGGUACCUUGACGGUACCUAACCAGAAAGCCACGGCUAACUACGUGCCAGCAGCCGCGGUAAUACGUAGGUGGCAAGCGUUGUCCGGAAUUAUUGGGCGUAAAGCGCGCGCAGGCGGUUUCUUAAGUCUGAUGUGAAAGCCCCCGGCUCAACCGGGGAGGGUCAUUGGAAACUGGGGAACUUGAGUGCAGAAGAGGAGAGUGGAAUUCCACGUGUAGCGGUGAAAUGCGUAGAGAUGUGGAGGAACACCAGUGGCGAAGGCGACUCUCUGGUCUGUAACUGACGCUGAGGCGCGAAAGCGUGGGGAGCGAACAGGAUUAGAUACCCUGGUAGUCCACGCCGUAAACGAUGAGUGCUAAGUGUUAGAGGGUUUCCGCC